AGAGUUUGAUCAUGGCUCAGAUUGAACGCUGGCGGCAGGCUUAACACAUGCAAGUCGAGCGGAUGAGAAGAGCUUGCUCUUCGAUUCAGCGGCGGACGGGUGAGUAAUGCCUAGGAAUCUGCCUGGUAGUGGGGGAUAACGUUCCGAAAGGAACGCUAAUACCGCAUACGUCCUACGGGAGAAAGCAGGGGACCUUCGGGCCUUGCGCUAUCAGAUGAGCCUAGGUCGGAUUAGCUAGUUGGUGAGGUAAUGGCUCACCAAGGCGACGAUCCGUAACUGGUCUGAGAGGAUGAUCAGUCACACUGGAACUGAGACACGGUCCAGACUCCUACGGGAGGCAGCAGUGGGGAAUAUUGCACAAUGGGCGCAAGCCUGAUGCAGCCAUGCCGCGUGUAUGAAGAAGGCCUUCGGGUUGUAAAGUACUUUCAGCGAGGAGGAAGGCAUUAAGGUUAAUAACCUUAGUGAUUGACGUUACUCGCAGAAGAAGCACCGGCUAACUCCGUGCCAGCAGCCGCGGUAAU
rnacentral:rRNA from 1 species